GAGAGCCCCAAGACCGUCGCCUGCACCACCGUCUCAGAAAAGUGAGCCAAAAUCUCGCGAGAUUCAGGCUACACACGAGCGGAUCCAAAGGCCAAACCUCCGAUCUUGAAGUCGACACACCCAGAGGUACACUUGACUGAGAAGGAAAGUCUUUUCAUAUUAAAUCCAUGUUAGCCUGACCGCUGUUGCCCUGGAACCAUCGCUCUUCGUGGCUUUGUAUGGCUGGCUGAUGUGAUUUGGGAAUGUUUUUAGUCAAUGGGAGACGGGAAUCAGAAACAGUGGUGGUAGAGUGUACGGGGUUUACUUGAAUUUUUAUAUGAUGUCCCUGAAUUUUUGUAGGUUAUUCUCAAUCUACGGAUGGUGAUUACUUGACUAUUUCACCAAAGUUGGCUACUCAGCCUUUGAAAUACAGAGCUGAGGAUGAGAGAGGAGUCAGAUGAGCUAGAAUCAGGUUUGUAUCAUUCUAAAUUAUUCGUUUAGUUACCGAUAAAAGAUAUGGUUGCCUAAUCCAGUUUUGUAUUUUCAACAUCUUAAACAUUUUCUUUUGAUAGCACUUCGUUUUGAUUUGUAAACUAACUAUAUGCAUUAUCUUUAUUUUGGGUCGCAGUGUAACGUUUAACGAUUGAAUUUGUAAGAUGGUUUAGCAA